rnacentral:lncRNA from 1 species
AACUAUGUCACAUAUACUGGCAUAAGGUGGUUAAGUCCUUAUAGCUUUUCAAAUAAACCAUAUAACAUCAAUAAUUCCACAUAAAAUAAUGAUAGCCAUAUAUAAUCAUCUAUUCUGAACCAGGGUUAUCAAGGCAUAACAGGCACAAUAUCAAGGUAUGGCAAUAUGUAAAGCACAAUAAUGAAUGGGUAACUGCUAGUUAAGGUGAUAAUUAAAUUAAUUAACACGUGCAAGCUAUAUAUGUACUCGAAGGUAAGUACGACUACCCAAAAUAUGACCUAGCUUCAGAUUAGGUUCAAUUAUGAUCAAAG